rnacentral:ncRNA from 1 species
AAUACAAGGGGAGCUCGUGCAGGCGGGCUGAGAACGGGGGGAGAUGCCCCGGACCCAUAACCUGAUUUGGAUAAUGCCAACGUAGGGAAAUAGACAG